ACAUACGACCAUAGGGUGUGGAAAACAGAGCUUCCCGUCCGCUCAGCCGUACUUAAGCCACACGCCGGGAGGUUAGUAGUUGGGUGGGUGACCACCAGCGAAUCCCUUCUGUUGUAUGUU
rfam:Aspergillus niger ATCC 1015, whole genome shotgun sequence.